ACUGAACCUGAAGCUGCAAGCAAAGCCUGAAUACCUGAGAACUUUCAGAGAAACAGCCCCGGAAAUAAAACUCACAACGGAAAGCAAAGGUGGACAUUGACAUGAAGAACAGACAAGUUUCCCAUGAAAAUCAGCUGAAAGUGAGAAAAGACGUUCUACUUACUUGAAGAAAAACCACAUGAAGAGAGCAGCAGUGCCUCCUGAACUGAUCUCAUCAAAUCUACUCGUCCAUCCAUGCUCUCGUGUAAAUUUGGCUGACGAAGUGGCCACGAGCCAAAGUACUGCAGCUGCUCAGCAAAACAUGGAAAACUUGGAUCAUGUGAUGGUCCCAUUGGCAGCUUCUGAAAGUGAUUCAGGCGUUUUACUUUUUGUUAAUGAUUACAUCGCUGGUGAAUGAACUCAAAUUCCUUCAGUAUCACUGGCUGGACCUUCACCCUGCAGCAAGCCUGAAAUGCCAAUCAAACAAGCUGCUACCUUAAGGUGGAGGUAGAGUUAAUAUAGUCAAAACAUUUGUGCUUCAUCUUUUUUGGCUCUAAAUGGGACCAAAAUUUACAAAAAUAAUAUUGUGCUGUAUUUAGUACAACUUUAAACUGGUUAAGAAAACCAAAACCUGGCCAGGAAAGGAUUUGAGGGCACAGAAUGUGGAAGCAACCAGCCACACAAAUCACCCCCAGUGGGCCAUUAGAAGGAACACCAGAUUCAAGCACUACUUCACCAGCUUCACUUUCCAGACCUACAUCUUACCACCUGGAAGUAGAGGAAGAAAAAAAGAGAAAAAAUUGAUUCAGUCUCCACUUUUGUCAUGUUAAAACUGAAACGCCUAAAGGAUCAAAUUUCAAGUGAUCAGAAUAGUUAAAAACAAAAAACAACAGUUCUGAUUUUGG